AGAAUUUGCCUGGCGGCCUUAGCGCGGUGGUCCCACCUGACCCCAUGCCGAACUCAGAAGUGAAACGCCGUAGCGCCGAUGGUAGUGUGGGGUCUCCCCAUGCGAGAGUAGGGAAC
rnacentral:rRNA from 1 species